UUUCACGUGACCUGAGAUAAUGUUUUGGGUGCUGUGGGACAAUAAACCAAGGCCUAUGCCUUGUGAAUGUUGUGUGCUUUGUAGCUGACUGUAAAACAGCUGAUCAUUCCCAAGAGUUAAUGAUGAUUGGAGUUUAAGGCAGAUCUAACUCUGGGCUUGUAUGUAAGGUUGGUGGGUGGAGUCUGAACAUGAGCACAGACUGGGUUUGCAUGGGCUGUUAUAUUCUAAAGUACAAAUACAAAUUUGGGUCAAUAUUCUGGCAGCAGCCAUCAGUGUAUUAAUAUGAAACAACCAUUUUAUCCGUUUGGUCACAGAU